rnacentral:lncRNA from 1 species
CAUGAGGGUACGAUGUGUUCCACCCUUUCUUUCCUCCAGUUGGAACUCUGUCAAGCAGCAAUGGAGCAAAGGAGACAUGAUUGGCAAAGUAAUUUCUGGAGCUGACAUCUGACGGCUCCCAUCAAAGUCCUCUCUUUCUCCACUGAGAAUGUUGGAUUGUUUUGAAGUCUGCAGGACUGUGGCAGCUCAUAAAGUCCUGAAGAUGGGGCCAUUAAGCUUGGAAAUAACAUUCUGAAGAUUGGUUUGUGGAGCCUGGAUAAACAUGACUGACAAUACUGCACAAUUCAAGGAUUAGUCUUAUUUUUGUUUUGCCUUUAAGGACAAUCCCACCUGGAGGCCAUGAUGAACUAGGAGAUCUCUUUAGAAAUCCUUUAUGUAUUCUAGACAUUACUCUUUGAGGUAGAUGUCUUAAAAGGAACUUUUCCUAAUCUCUGGAUUGUCAUCAACUUUUUAUGGU